CUCGAAGGUGCCUGAAAGAAACCUUACAGAUUACACAGACAGAGGUCCAGCAAGGACAGCAGCAGUUCAGCCAGUUCACAGAUGGACAGCUCUACCAGAUCCAGCAAGUCACCAUGCCUGCGGGCCAGGACCUCGCCCAGCCCAUGUUCAUCCAGUCAGCCAACCAGCCCUCCGACGGGCAGGCCCCCCAGGUGACCGGCGACUGAGGGCCUGAGCUGGCAAGGCCAAGGACACCCAACACAAUUUUUGCCAUACAGCCCCAGGCAAUGGGCACAGCCUUCCUCCCCAGAGGACCCGGCCGACCUCAGCGCCUCCUGCAGGCUAGGACACUGGUGCACUACACCCCACGCCUGGGGGCCGAGAUUCUCCAGCAGAAAGAUGCAAUAUUUUUUGUUUCCUUUUUUUCCAUUUUUUUCUCCAAGGAAUCAAUAUUUCAAUAUGUUGAGUGUGUGUCCAAUGCUAUGAAAUUAAAAUAUUAAAUAACAUAUUUAUGGCAUUUUCUUGAAGAGUGUGGUUGAAGAAAUAUUUCUCCUUUUGUUUUUCUUUUUUUGUUUGUUACUGCCACUUCUUUUUAGGAGCAAAUCUCCCCAGGGGUGUACGGUAUUUCUUGACUCUGGGAACAGCUGCUACCCCCAAGACUUGCCACGUUGUUCUGCCCUCAGAUGGAAUUAGGUGAAUGUGUGUAGCUGCUUUUUCACUCGUGGUCCUCUCCCCAUCCCUUGCUCUGACCCCAGAGCUCUGUGUAUUUGCAUCCAGAGGCCAUGGAAACAUUCUUUGCAUUUAAGAGACAGAUUUAUUCCCUGUGGAGAGUGGGUGGAUUCAUUGCCACACUCUUUUCUCCCAGGGACCCAGGAAACUAGGACUUUGUGUGUUUGCUGCCCACCUCCCUUUUAUUUUUUCAACGCAUUAAAAAUUGUGCUAGUCUCCUUUGCAUGGACUUCAAGCUGC
rnacentral:lncRNA from 1 species